AACGAACGCUGGCGGCAGGCUUAACACAUGCAAGUCGAACGGGCGUAGCAAUACGUCAGUGGCGGACGGGUGAGUAACACGUGGGAAUAUGCCUUUCGGUUCGGAACAACUCGGGGAAACCCGUGCUAAUUCCGGAUACGCCCUUACGGGAAAGGAUUUAUCGCCGAAAGAUUAGCCCGCGUUGGAUUAGCUAGUUGGUGAGGUAAAGGCUCACCAAGGCGACGAUCCAUAGCUGGUUUGAGAGAACGACCAGCCACACUGGGACUGAGACACGGCCCAGACUCCUACGGGGAGGCAGCAGUGGGGAAUCUUGGACAAUGGGCGCAAGCCUGAUCCAGCCAUGCCGCGUGAGUGAUGAAGGCCUUCGGUUGUAAAC
rnacentral:rRNA from 1 species